UAGGGAAUAUUGGGCAAUGGGCGAGAGCCUGACCCAGCCAUGCCGCGUGCCGGAUGAAGGCCUUCUGGGUUGUAAACGGCUUUUCUCAGGGAAGAAAAAGACCUUGCGAGGUACACUGACGGUACCUGAGGAAUAAGCACCGGCUAACUCCGUGCCAGCAGCCGCGGUAAUACGGAGGGUGCAAGCGUUGUCCGGAUUUAUUGGGUUUAAAGGGUGCGUAGGUGGUUUGAUAAGUCCGGGGUGAAAGCCCACAGCUCAACUGUGGAACUGCCCUGGAUACUGUCAGACUUGAGGGUAGACGAGGUUGGCGGAAUAGAAGGUGUAGCGGUGAAAUGCAUAGAUACCUUCUAGAACCCCGAUUGCGUAGGCAGCUGACUAGGCUACACCUGACACUGAGGCACGAAAGCGUGGGGAGCGAACAG
rnacentral:rRNA from 1 species